AUGCAGGGCACACUGAUGAGCAGGUUAUUGCAGUUUUGCUCUGAUACUAUCCCCUUCUUUCAUCUGAGUCCUUAGAACUCACAAAGUAGGAAGACUGAAUGGGGUUGCAGGGUCAGCAGCUCUUAUCCUUCAGAAUUCUGCCAGUUCAUCUAUGUAUAAAGCAUGCACAAAUCAACAUUUGAGAUAAAGAUCAAGAAGGAAAAAAAAGAAAAAGGAAAAGAGAGCAGCAAACAUUUAGCUUUGAAAAUUAACAGUAGUAGGUGAAAACGUCUUGGUUGCUUGAUAGAGCAAUUACAAUCUUCCAUCCUUAUGUGAAGCCGCAGGGACACAGGGCUGAUGCAGAGAAUGCUGCUGGGGGAGUCUGAUUCUCGGUCCUAUGACUCAGGGGUGACUCAAGGGUCACAAGGCUUGUUUUGUAGAAGAAAAAGAAUGCCUUCAAGGAAGUUAUGAUCACCAGAUAACCAACCUCCAGCUGCUGUUGAUGCCCAGAAGUCUUAUUGCCCAAGCGCUUACCUGAAGUAAAAGAAACAGGGAUUUGCCCUUUGUUUCCCUGAAACUCCUUCUCCCAAGCCCCGUAGUUCUAUAAAAUCCAUGUGCCUUCUUCUUUUGUUAAGGCAGAUUUGAGAGAACCUAGCCUCCUGCCUUCCAAUUUUGCCAAUUCAAAUAAAACUUUCUCCAUCUCUAAGCACCCAAUUUCAACAUGGGGGGGAGUUCUCCCCACACCAACAAAUGAUUCUCAGAUACCAGCAAGGGGUCUGAGAAUUCAACUCAAUUCUGACACUAUCUACCCAGAGACAGCAACAGAUUCCACAGGUUAAGAAUUCAGUCCUACAACACUGACCCCUCAGCCCCACUUCAGAUGCCAGUCACAAGCCCAGUUGUUACCUGUGCUUCUGACCGACCAGCUACAGAUUAGAGGUUCCAAUAACCUUCUUAGGCUUCAGAUGCUGUUGCAAGUCCAGUUUUUACUAACACUUCUGACCAACUGGCUGUAGAUCAGAGGUUCCCACAACCUCCUCCUUGGGUUUGAUUAAUCUACUAGAAUGGCUCAAAGAACUCAGAGAAAUAUUUUACUUACCAGAUCAUUGGUUUAUUAUAAAAGGAUAUAACU
rnacentral:lncRNA from 1 species